rnacentral:rRNA from 1 species
CAGGUUNCUGGGCAGUUACUGACGCUGAGGAGCGAAAGCAUGGGGGGCGAACAGGAUUAGAUACCNUGGUAGUCCAUGCUGUAAANCGGUGGGCGCUAGGUGUGGGCUGUGUGUUUGCAGUCUGUGCUGUAGCUAACGCAUUAAGCGCCCCGCCUGGGGAGUACGGCCGCAAGGCUAAAACUCAAAGGAAUUGACGGGGGCCCGCACAAGCGGCGGAGCAUGUGGAUUAAUUCGAUGCAACGCGAAGAACCUUACCUGGGUUUGACAUGCACCAGAUCGGCGUAGAGAUACGUCCUCCCUUGUGGUUGGUGCACAGGUGGUGCAUGGUUGUCGUCAGCUCGUGUCGUGAGAUGUUGGGUUAAGUCCCGCAACNNNNNNANNNNNNNNUCUUAUGUUGCCAGCACAUUUUUGGUGGGGACUCAUGAGAAACUGCCGGGGUCAACUCGGAGGAAGGUGGGGAUGACGUCAAAUCAUCAUGCCCUUUAUACCCAGGGCUUCACACAUGCUACAAUGGUCGGUACAACGGGUUGCGACACUGUGAAGUGAAGCUAAUCUCUUAAAGCCGGCCUCAGUUCGGAUUGGGGUCUGCAACUCGACCCCAUG